CCUACGGGGGGCAGCAAUUAGGAAUCUUGCGCAAUGGGGGAAACCCUGAUCCAGCCAUUCCGCGUGAGUGAAGAAGGCCUUCGGGUUGUAAAGCUCUUUCGGCAGGAACGAAACGGCGGACUCUAACAUAGUCUGUCAAUGACGGUACCUGAAGAAGAAGCACCGGCUAACUACGUGCCAGCAGCCGCGGUAAUACGUAGGGUGCGAGCGUUAAUCGGAAUUACUGGGCGUAAAGCGUGCGCAGGCGGCUUUGUAAGACGGAUGUAAAAUCCCUGGGCUUAACCUAGUAACUGCGUUCGUGACUGCAAAGCUAGAGUGCGGCAGAGGGGGGUGAAAUUCCUGGUGUAGCAGUGAAAUGCGUAGAGAUCAGGAGGAACACCGAUGGCGAGGGCGGCCCCCUGGGUUGAAACUGACGCUCAUGCACGAAAGCGGGGGGAGCAAACAGGAUUAGAUCCCUUGUUAGU
rnacentral:rRNA from 1 species